UAAUACUAGCGGUCCAAGUCGCAGCCAUUAUUAUUGGGUCUAAAACAUCCGUAGCUUGCUUUAUAAGUCCCUUGUGAAAUCCUAUGUCUUAAGCAUAGGGCGGGCAAGGGGUACUGCAAAGCUAGAGACUGGAAGACGUGAGAAGUAUGUUCGAAGUAGCGGUAAAAUGUUUUAAUCUUGAACAGACUCACAAUAGCGAAGGCAUCUCACGAGGACAGUUCUGACAGUAAGGGAUGAAGGCUAGGGGCGCAAAACAGAUUAGAUACCUGUGUAGUCCUAGCAGUAAACACUGCACACUAAACAUCAGUACCUCCUCGAGAGGCAUUGGUGCUGCAGGGAAGCCGAAGAGUGUGCUACCUGGGAAGUAUAGUCGCAAGGCCG
rnacentral:rRNA from 1 species